CAAGCUGAGAAAGCUGAAGAAGAACAAGGAGAUAGACACCUCAGUAGGCCCGGCGUUGUUAGUCAUGACCCCUACGCGCGAGCUGUGCUACCAGAUUUACAGCGACGCAGAGAAGUUCGGCAAGCCC
rnacentral:rRNA from 14 species